GACAGAGGGUGCAAACGUUGUUCGGAAUUACUGGGCGUAAAGCGCGUGUAGGCGGCUAUGCAAGUCGGAUGUGAAAGCUCGGAGCUCAACUCCGAAAUGGCAUUGGAAACUACCUUGCUAGAGGGUUGGAGGGGGGACUGGAAUGCUUGGUGUAGGCAGUGAAAUGCGUAGAUAUCAAGCGGAACACCAGUGGCGAAGGCGAGUCCCUGGACAACUCCUGACACUGAGGCACGAAAGCUAGGGGAGCAAACAGG
rnacentral:rRNA from 1 species